rnacentral:rRNA from 1 species
CCUACGGGAGGCAGCAGUAGGGAAUAUUGCUCAAUGGGGGAAACCCUGAAGCAGCAACGCCGCGUGGGGGAUGAAGGUUUUCGGAUUGUAAACUCCUUUUGUUAGAGAAGAUAAUGACGGUAUCUAACGAAUAAGCACCGGCUAACUCCGUGCCAGCAGCCGCGGUAAUACGGAGGGUGCAAGCGUUACUCGGAAUCACUGGGCGUAAAGAGCGCGUAGGCGGGAUAGCAAGUCAGAUGUGAAAUCCUAUGGCUUAACCAUAGAACUGCAUUUGAAACUGUUAUUCUAGAGUGUGGGAGAGGUAGGUGGAAUUCUUGGUGUAGGGGUAAAAUCCGUAGAGAUCAAGAGGAAUACUCAUUGCGAAGGCGACCUGCUAGAACAUAACUGACGCUGAUGCGCGAAAGCGUGGGGAGCAAACAGGAUUAGAUACCCCAGUAGUC